AGCCAUGUGGCAUAGUGGUUUAAAUGUUGGACUAUAACUCUGCAGAUCAGGGUUCGAUUCUGUGCGUGGCCA